ACCCAGCUGACGAGUCCCAAAUAGGACGAAAUGCGCAUCAAACUGGAC
rfam:Schistosoma rodhaini strain Burundi genome assembly, scaffold: SROB_scaffold0003657